AUGGUAAUCUAUGGGAGUAUUCUUUGGACAAAUAAAUACAAUGUCUGGCAGCUGUUUCUUUGUCCCUUGAACUACACGAGCUCUUUUGAAGAGCGACACAUGGAAGGAAGCCAUUUUAGUCAGACAAGGACAAAGAAUCAAGCCAUUUUAAGUGUGUUUGGAUGGACGGUGAAUUUGGUAAAAUCACUGUUGCACGGUGAUAUUUGCCAAAAUGGCGAUGGCUCGUCAUGA